UCAGUCCCUACCUGUUUGAGGUCCUCCUG
rnacentral:piRNA from 1 species